GACGAACGCUGGCGGCGUGCCUAAUACAUGCAAGUAGAACGCUGAAGGAGGAGCUUGCUUCUCUGGAUGAGUUGCGAACGGGUGAGUAACGCGUAGGUAACCUGCCUGGUAGCGGGGGAUAACUAUUGGAAACGAUAGCUAAUACCGCAUAAUAGUAGAUGUUGCAUGACACUUACUUAAAAGGUGCAAUUGCAUCACUACCAGAUGGACCUGCGUUGUAUUAGCUAGUUGGUGGGGUAACGGCUCACCAAGGCGACGAUACAUAGCCGACCUGAGAGGGUGAUCGGCCACACUGGGACUGAGACACGGCCCAGACUCCUACGGGAGGCAGCAGUAGGGAAUCUUCGGCAAUGGACGAAAGUCUGACCGAGCAACGCCGCGUGAGUGAAGAAGGUUUUCGGAUCGUAAAGCUCUGUUGUAAGAGAAGAACGAGUGUGAGAGUGGAAAGUUCACACUGUGACGGUAUCUUACCAGAAAGGGACGGCUAACUACGUG
rnacentral:rRNA from 1 species